GGGUGAUUAGCUCAGUGGUAGAGCGCUUCGUUUACACCGAAGAUGUCGGGAGUUCGAACCUCUCAUCACCCACCA
rnacentral:tRNA from 1 species